rnacentral:rRNA from 1 species
UACGUAGGGGGCAAGCGUUGUCCGGAUUUAUUGGGCGUAAAGAGCGUGUAGGCGGCCAGGUAGGUCCGUUGUGAAAACUGGAGGCUUAACCUCCAGACGUCGACGGAAACCGUGUGGCUAGAGUCCGGAAGAGGAGAGUGGAAUUCCUGGUGUAGCGGUGAAAUGCGCAGAUAUCAGGAAGAACACCAAUGGCGAAGGCAGCUCUCUGGGACGGUACUGACGCUGAGACGCGAAAGCGUGGGGAGCGAACAGG